rnacentral:rRNA from 1 species
AUUGAACGCUGGCGGCAGGCCUAACACAUGCAAGUCGAGCGGAUGACGGGAGCUUGCUCCUUGAUUCAGCGGCGGACGGGUGAGUAAUGCCUAGGAAUCUGCCUGGUAGUGGGGGACAACGUUUCGAAAGGAACGCUAAUACCGCAUACGUCCUACGGGAGAAAGCAGGGGACCUUCGGGCCUUGCGCUAUCAGAUGAGCCUAGGUCGGAUUAGCUUGUUGGUGAGGUAAUGGCUCACCAAGGCGACGAUCCGCAACUGGUCUGAGAGGAUGAUCAGUCACACUGGAACUGAGACACGGUCCAGACUCCUACGGGAGGCAGCAGUGGGGAAUAUUGGACAAUGGGCGAAAGCCUGAUCCAGCCAUGCCGCGUGUGUGAAGAAGGUCUUCGGAUUGUAAAGCACUUCAAGUUGGGAGGAAGAGUUGUAGAUUAAUACUCUGCAAUUUUGACGUCACCGACAGAAUAAGCACCGGCUAACUCUGUGCCAGCAGCCGCAGUAAAAC